AGUGGCGGACGGGUGAGUAACGCGUGAGAAUCUGCCUUGGGGUCGGGGACAACCACUGGAAACGGUGGCUAAUACCGGAUAAGCCGAUUGGUGAAAGAUUUAUUGCCCGAAGAGGAGCUCGCGUCUGAUUAGCUAGUUGGUGAGGUAAGAGCUCACCAAGGCAGCGAUCAGUAGCUGGUCUGAGAGGACGAUCAGCCACACUGGGACUGAGACACGGCCCAGACUCCUACGGGAGGCAGCAGUGGGGAAUUUUCCGCAAUGGGCGAAAGCCUGACGGAGCAAGACCGCGUGAGGGAGUAAGGCUCUUGGGUUGUAAACCUCUUUUCUCAGGGAAGAAGCUCUGACGGUACCUGAGGAAUCAGCCUCGGCUAACUCCGUGCCAGCAGCCGCGGUAAUACGGAGGAGGCAAGCGUUAUCCGGAAUUAUUGGGCGUAAAGCGUCCGCAGGUGGCGAUUCAAGUCUGCUGUCAAAGCACGGGGCUUAACUCCGUAAAGGCAGUGGAAACUGAAUAGCUAGAGUGCCGUAGGGGUAGAGGGAAUUCCCGGUGUAGCGGUGAAAUGCGUAGAGAUCGGGAAGAACAUCGGUGGCGAAAGCGCUCUACUGGACGGCAACUGACACUCAGGGACGAAAGCUAGGGGAGCGAAUGGGAUUAGAUACCCC
rnacentral:rRNA from 1 species